rnacentral:lncRNA from 14 species
GCUGGCCAGCAUCCGCUGUGAGAGUGGAGAAUCAGAACCAGGAGUACAAGACACUCCUGGGCAUCAAGACCCGCCUGGAGCAGGAGAUUGCUCAGUACCGGGCUCUGCUGCAGGAGGGACAGCAGGACAUUGCAUCAUUUCAAGGAGCUCUCCAAGGAGGGGGAUCGUCCUCCCACACUUCUUACUCUACUUCCUACUCUCAUGGGCAAUCUGGUGACAAGGCAGGGCAGUCAAGAGCGUAUUAAUACACCACCGAUGCACUGGUCUUCCCUGAUUGAAGAAGCCAUCAGAGCACCAGACACAGGAGCACUGCUCCCCUGCCCAGCACACACUGCCCUGCACAUCUUAUCCAUGAAGUCAAGAUGAAUCAUUUCUAGAACUCUCCUAAAAUUGUCUCCUUUUCCUUCAUGUGCAGUCACCGUACGGACAUGCACUUCUCUGCAGUGCAGCUGGUGAUCUACUUUCUGCCUCUAAUAAAACUCUACUUUUCUGCA